UUUUAUGAGAGUUUGAUCCUGGCUCAGGACGAACGCUGGCGGCGUGCCUAAUACAUGCAAGUCGAACGCUUCUUUUUCCACCGGAGCUUGCUCCACCGGAAAAAGAGGAGUGGCGAACGGGUGAGUAACACGUGGGUAACCUGCCCAUCAGAAGGGGAUAACACUUGGAAACAGGUGCUAAUACCGUAUAACAAUCGAAACCGCAUGGUUUUGAUUUGAAAGGCGCUUUCGGGUGUCGCUGAUGGAUGGACCCGCGGUGCAUUAGCUAGUUGGUGAGGUAACGGCUCACCAAGGCCACGAUGCAUAGCCGACCUGAGAGGGUGAUCGGCCACAUUGGGACUGAGACACGGCCCAAACUCCUACGGGAGGCAGCAGUAGGGAAUCUUCGG
rnacentral:rRNA from 1 species